UACGGAGGGGGUUAGCGUUGUUCGGAAUGACUGGGCGUAAAGCGCGCGUAGGCGGAUCGGAAAGUCGGGGGUGAAAUCCCGGGGCUCAACCCCGGAAUGGCCUUCGAAACUCCCGGUCUUGAGUUCGAGAGAGGUGAGUGGAAUUCCGAGUGUAGAGGUGAAAUUCGUAGAUAUUCGGAGGAACACCAGUGGCGAAGGCGGCUCACUGGCUCGACACUGACGCUGAGGUGCGAAAGCGCGGGGAGCAAACAGG
rnacentral:rRNA from 1 species